rnacentral:rRNA from 1 species
CGAGCGAGCUUGCCUAGAUGAUUUUAGUGCUUGCACUAAAUGAAACUAGAUACAAGCGAGCGGCGGACGGGUGAGUAACACGUGGGUAACCUGCCCAAGAGACUGGGAUAACACCUGGAAACAGAUGCUAAUACCGGAUAACAACACUAGACGCAUGUCUAGAGUUUGAAAGAUGGUUCUGCUAUCACUCUUGGAUGGACCUGCGGUGCAUUAGCUAGUUGGUAAGGUAACGGCUUACCAAGGCAAUGAUGCAUAGCCGAGUUGAGAGACUGAUCGGCCACAUUGGGACUGAGACACGGCCCAAACUCCUACGGGAGGCAGCAGUAGGGAAUCUUCCACAAUGGACGAAAGUCUGAUGGAGCAGCGCCGCGUGAGUGAAGAAGGGUUUCGGCUCGUAAAGCUCUGUUGGUAGUGAAGAAAGAUAGAGGUAGUAACUGGCCUUUAUUUGACGGUAAUUACUUAGAAAGUCACGGCUAACUACGUGCCAGCAGCCGCGGUAAUACGUAGGUGGCAAGCGUUGUCCGGAUUUAUUGGGCGUAAAGCGAGUGCAGGCGGUUCAAUAAGUCUGAUGUGAAAGCCUUCGGCUCAACCGGAGAAUUGCAUCAGAAACUGUCGAACUUGAGUGCAGAAGAGGAGAGUGGAACUCCAUGUGUAGCGGUGGAAUGCGUAGAUAUAUGGAAGAACACCAGUGGCGAAGGCGGCUCUCUGGUCUGCAACUGACGCUGAGGCUCGAAAGCAUGGGUAGCGUACAGGAUUAGAUACCCUGGUAGUCCAUGCCGUANACGAUGAGUGCUAAGUGUNGGGAGGUUUCCGCCUCUCAGUGCUGCAGCUA